rnacentral:rRNA from 1 species
UCGGUUGGGUUUAUUCUCCUUCCUGUCAGGAUGAACGCUACCGGCAGGCCUCACACAUGCAAGUCGACAGGUAACAGAGUGCUUGCACCGUUGACGACCGGCGAACGGGUGCGUAACGCGUAUAGAAUCUGCCUUGUACAGGAGGAUAGCCUUUAGAAAUGAAGAUUAAUACUCCAUAAUAUUGAGAUGUGGCAUCACAAUUUAGUUAAAGAUUUAUCGGUACAAGAUGACUAUGCGUCCUAUUAGCUAGAUGGUAAGGUAACGGCUUACCAUGGCAACGAUAGGUAGGGGGUCUGAGAGGAUUAUCCCCCACACUGGUACUGAGACACGGACCAGACUCCUACGGGAGGCAGCAGUGAGGAAUAUUGGUCAAUGGAGGCAACUCUGAACCAGCCAUGCCGCGUGCAGGAAGACUGCCCUAUGGGUUGUAAACUGCUUUUGUACAGGAAGAAACAGUCGUACGUGUACGGCCUUGACGGUACUGAUAAGAAUAAGCACCGGCUAACUCCGUGCCAGCAGCCGCGGUAAUACGGAGGGUGCAAGCGUUAUCCGGAAUCAUUGGGUUUAAAGGGUCCGCAGGCGGUCAAUUAAGUCAGAGGUUGGAAAUCCCAUAGCUUAACUAUGGAACUGCCUUUGAUACUGGUUGACUUGAGUUAAUACGGAAGUAGAUAGAAUAAGUAGUGUAGCGGUGAAAUGCAUAGAUAUUACUUAGAAUACCGAUUGCGAAGGCAGUCUACUACGUAUAUACUGACGCUCAUGGACGAAAGCGUGGGGAGCGAACAGGAUUAGAUACCCUGGUAGUCCACGCCGUAAACGAUGGACACUAGUUGUUGGGCAUUGUUCAGUGACUAAGCGAAAGUGAUAAGUGUCCCACAUGGGAGACAUGACGUA